GGCGGGGUAGCUCAGGUGGUUAGAGCAGCGGAAUCAUAAUCCGCGUGUCGUUGGUUCGAAUCCGACCCUCGCUACCA
rnacentral:tRNA from 1 species